CCUACGGGUGGCAGCAGUGAGGAAUAUUGGUCAAUGGACGAGAGUCUGAACCAGCCAAGUAGCGUGAAGGAUGACUGCCCUAUGGGUUGUAAACUUCUUUUAUAAAGGAAUAAAACGAGGCACGUGUGCCUUUUUGAAGUUACUUUAUGAAUAAGGAUCGGCUAACUCCGUGCCAUCAGCCGCGGUAAUACGGAGGAUCCGAGCGUUAUCCGGAUUUAUUGGGUUUAAAGGGAGCGUAGAUGGUUGGUUAAGUCAGUUGUGAAAGUUUGCGGCUCAACCGUAAAAUUGCAAUUGAUACUGGCAGUCUUGAGUACAGUUGAGGUAGGCGGAAUUCGUGGUGUAGCGGUGAAAUGCUUAGAUAUAACGAAGAACCCCGAUUGCGAAGGCAGCUUACUAAACUGUGACUGACAUUGAUGCUCGAAAGUGUGGGUAUCAAACAGGAUUAGAUACCCGAGUAGUC
rnacentral:rRNA from 1 species